rnacentral:tRNA from 1 species
CUGAUGAGCUCAGUUGGUAGAACAUGAGGCUCUUAAUCUCAGGUUCGUGGGUUUGAGCCCCACAUUGG